UACGUAGGGGGCUAGCGUUGUCCGGAAUCAUUGGGCGUAAAGCGCGUGUAGGCGGUCCGGUAAGUCCGCUGUGAAAGUCGAGGGCUCAACCCUCGAAUGCCGGUGGAUACUGUCGGGCUAGAGUGCGGAAGAGGCGAGUGGAAUUCCCGGUGUAGCGGUGAAAUGCGCAGAUAUCGGGAGGAACACCUAUGGCGAAGGCAGCUCGCUGGGACGGCACUGACGCUGAGACGCGAAAGCGUGGGGAGCAAACAGG
rnacentral:rRNA from 1 species